AUUGAACGCUGGCGGCAUGCCUUACACAUGCAAGUCGAACGGUAACGCGGGGCAACCUGGCGACGAGUGGCGAACGGGUGAGUAAUGUAUCGGAACGUGCCCAGUAGUGGGGGAUAGCCCGGCGAAAGCCGGAUUAAUACCGCAUACGACCUACGGGUGAAAGCGGGGGAUCGCAAGACCUCGCGCUAUUGGAGCGGCCGAUAUCAGAUUAGGUAGUUGGUGGGGUAAAGGCCUACCAAGCCUACGAUCUGUAGCUGGUCUGAGAGGACGACCAGCCACACUGGGACUGAGACACGGCCCAGACUCCUACGGGAGGCAGCAGUGGGGAAUUUUGGACAAUGGGCGCAAGCCUGAUCCAGCCAUGCCGCGUGCGGGAAGAAGGCCUUCGGGUUGUAAACCGCUUUUGUCAGGGAAGAAACGCUCUGGGCUAAUACCCCGGGGUAAUGACGGUACCUGAAGAAUAAGCACCGGCUAACUACGUGCCAGCAGCCGCGGUAAUACGUAGGGUGCAAGCGUUAAUCGGAAUUACUGGGCGUAAAGCGUGCGCAGGCGGUCUUGCAAGACAGAUGUGAAAUCCCCGGGCUCAACCUGGGAACUGCAUUUGUGACUGCAAGGCUGGAGUGCGGCAGAGGGGGAUGGAAUUCCGCGUGUAGCAGUGAAAUGCGUAGAUAUGCGGAGGAACACCGAUGGCGAAGGCAAUCCCCUGGGCCUGCACUGACGCUCAUGCACGAAAGCGUGGGGAGCAAACAG
rnacentral:rRNA from 2 species